UACGUAGGCAGCGAGCGUUGUUCGGAGUUACUGGGCGUAAAGAGUGCGUAGGCGGUUUUCUAAGUUUGGUGUGAAAUCUCCCGGCUCAACUGGGAGGGUGCGCCGAAGACUGGAAGGCUUGAGUAUGGGAGAGGUAAGCGGAAUUCCUGGUGUAGCGGUGAAAUGCGUAGAUAUUCGCAAGAACACCAGUGGCGAAGGCGGCUCACUGGCCCGGUACUGACGCUGAGGUGCGAAAGCGUGGGAGCAAACAGG
rnacentral:rRNA from 1 species